rnacentral:rRNA from 1 species
GAUGAACGCUAGCGGCAGGCUUAACACAUGCAAGUCGAGGGGCAGCACGGGUAGCAAUACCUGGUGGCGACCGGCGCAAGGGUGCGUAACGCGUGAGCAACAUGCCCUAUACAGGGGGAUAAUCCAGGGAAACUUGGUCUAAUAUCCCAUAGCAUUUAGAGGAGGCAUCUUCACUAAAUUAAAGCUUCGGUGGUAUAGGAUUGGCUCGCGUGACAUUAGCUUGAUGGUGGGGUAACGGCUCACCAUGGCGAUGAUGUCUAGGGGUUCUGAGAGGAAGACCCCCCAACUGGGACUGAGACACGGCCCAGACUCCUACGGGAGGCAGCAGUGAGGAAUAUUGGACAAUGGAUGGAAAUCUGAUCCAGCCAUGCCGCGUGCAGGAAGACGGCCCUAUGGGUUUAAACUGUACUUUUAUAUGGGACAAUAAGGUUUACGAGUAGACCGAUGAGAGUACCAUAUGAAUAAGCAUCGGCUAACG